ACUGUGUUUCCUCUGACACAUUGGUGUGGCUGGCUUCUGGGUUAAGCAAGCAGUGUGUCAAGAAGCAGUGCAACUUUGCAGGGUCAUGCUUGGGGGGAUGCAUGGCUCUCGACCUUUGCCUCUCCCAAGUCCGUACUGGAGUUGCAGAGAUGGGACAAGACUAACUACCAAUUGGACAUCACUAAAAAGUAAACAAAAAAUGUUGGACUCUAGGGAUGCUCGAUACUUUUCUAUAGGCCUAAUUAAAAUUGAUGAAGGGUGAGGCUAAUCAAUCGUAUAAAUGUUCAUUUUAGUUUGUUCUGUAAUCAUUAAAGCACUCCAAAUAAUGAAUGGAAUAUGACUCAAACCUGAAUUGUAAUGUUACCCAUUGCUUUGUUCCCACCAGUUAUGCAUGGUAACCAAAGGAUAUAUGAUGCGUCAUAAUAAUGCCUGAAGGUAAGAGUAAGCUAUAUGCAAACCUGAUGUUCAGAAAUGAUCAACUUAAUGCAUAUUCACCUCUAUUACUGGAAAGUAUUGUGAUUUUCAUAGCAGAUUGGUGUAACGUAAUAUGCUGGGAGUCAGGGGCAGGUGCAGAAGGUGAGUUUAAUAAUGAAUCGAAGCAGAUUGACAAAAUGUGAGAAGCGUACAGAACGUGAGAGAAAACAAUACUACCUAGUAACUGCUGUCAACUGAGGGCUAAAUAAAGGGUGAGUAAUCAAGGAGAUAAUGAUGACCAGGUGUGCGUAAUGAUUGUUGCCAGGGCCGGUGGUUAGCAGACCGGCGACGCCAAGCGCUGGAGAGAGGGAGCGGACACUUGUUGUUGACUAGCAUGUUCUGUAAGGAGAAAGGACGGAGCUGUGCGAUCAAACGUAUGUUUGAAAUAUGGACCAGUCCUUAUUUACAGUUGAGCACCACAGCAGGCAAGCAGGCUACACUUGACCUUGAUCAGAACAGAACACAGCAGGCAGGGCUCUGAGAGGGCCCUGGAGGAAGUCUAAUCCUAUUGCUGAGAGACAAAAACACCAUCCUCAGAGCCAAAUGUCUCUCCAGAAAUACCAUGCCUGACCAUCCAGGCAGCAGCCACCAGCUCACUCCAUUAGCUACCACAAUUAAAGUAGCCCUGGCUGGGCAUCCCAGCUUAUUAAAUUGAAACGGAUGGUGCAUUAGUGGUAGCUGCAGGUCAGGGAAAGGUAACAUUAGAGGUAAUACACACAGAGAGAUGAGACCCCUUCAGAUCAGUUACUAUUGCAGUUUUAUAUUUUGAGAUGAAAAGAGUAAACCUGAUGUACACUGUCAUGACUGGCCUGUUCGGGUCAGGUUACCGUAGACCAUAAUCCUACAGCGAUAUCUCUCACACCCACCAGCGGGAGAGAGAUAGAGAGUUAUGGAGGUGGGGGGUUUCAUUACACCUCCCACCCAUUGUAAAUCUUAAGGCAGCAGACAAAAUCCCCUUUGUCCUCUCAGUAUGGAGGGAUGGAAUGUAUGAUGGGCCUAUGGAGAAUCUACCUCUGAACAGUAACAUGUAAUAAAUGGACUUUGGGACAAUAUGUUUCGUGGCAAUAGAUGGAAUAUGAAAUGAUAUGAGUGUCAUUUUUGUUAUGUUAUUAAAAGUUAAAUGACGACGUUAUAACGAAAACAUUAUAACUUGAAGAGUUUUCACACUCAUGUACUUGAGGUUUGCAUACUGUACGUUGUGUGGAAAAUGUCCAGAUCAAAGAGAAUGUAUUUGUAAAGAUGUAAUGUGAAGUUAGUUGUCUAAAUUGGAUCUGAGUAAAAUCCAGACCUUGCAUCGUAGCUAGUUACGACCAGAGAACUUGCCCUAAAGGUGGAAACGCCAAUUUCUGACCCGAGGGUAUAAAACACAUGAGUUCAGAGCUAAUAUAGCAGACUAAGCAACCACGAGCUCCAGCCAAUGUCCGAAUUAGUUGCAUACCUAAAAUUCAACACAAGGUUGAAGAAGACAAAGGAACCUGAAGAGGGUUAAACCAAGGCCUCAUACCUUUUAAAGGGUUAAUAUAUUGUGCUAUGAUAAACUCUGUGUGUGUGUGUGUUAAAACCUGUUUCGAGUGUUGUGCCCUUCAGACACUAUCAGAAGACUGAAACCGCCUACAGUACGUUCAUACUCCUCCUGUCUGGGACCCACCAUGGUUAUCUGAGGUUCUGAAAACACAAGGCUGCCGCAAGCCUGAUGAAAACAGCCACCUGUCAGAAGAUGCUUGGACUCGUUCACCUUGUUAUGACUCUAUACUUGUGAUGGAAGGUCAAGUUUCUGUCAACCCACUUCUGAGCUUUUAAUUGCUGAUAAGAUGGUUGCUGCUGUCAGGGGGAGGUUAGAUUUAUUAAAAUGUUGUUGUCAGGGAAACUCACGCAAGGAGGACUGGGAGAGGCUCCAUGAGUUACAGGAUGUCUUAGACAUUUUGCACAACCUGGGGAGAGCUAUUAUGUACUGUACUCUGUACCAACUUCUGCACACAAUUGUAUUACUAUAGGAGUAUUCUAAUACUUAAACAACGAGUCUGUGUUUCCUUUCCAAUACUAAUGUAUGUUUGAUAAUUAUACAGACCUGAUCAUCUGUUGAAGAAAUUGACCAACAAAACCUUUUUACAAUCUAUGCUACGGAUGAGUAACUGUGUCUAAGAGGGUGAAUUCAAGCAGGACCACCGGGUCACCACUCUCCAAGGAAUCGUGUGUCUCAACUACUUUCAUUCCCACACUGGAACCAUCUCCACGGCUGAUUAGCCGUCCUCUGAAGAACCCUUUUCAGAGCAAGGACGAGGAAACAUUCCACUAAGAGUAAGGACACUGACAUCGUGAGGACAAACAGAGAGUUACACCUGGCAACCGAAGGUGUGCUGUCAUCAGAGAAGUCAGAACGCGGUCCACGAAGAGGCACCCCAUCAGAGACGUUCAAAACUGAAUUACAUCAUUAUAUUCUGACCCAUUAGAGCGGCAGUUCGGGGCAAGGGAACUGUUCUGUAGCUAUUGUCCCAGGGAACGUGGAGAGCUAUGUCGCUGUUCAACCCCUUGGUGUGGGCGCGAGAGUUGCUACGACAGAGCAGAAGCUCCUCCAGACUGGUGCUGGUGGUCGUGUGUGUUGCCCUGCUACUGGAUAACAUGCUGCUUACUGUUGUCGUGCCCAUCAUCCCAACGUUUUUACAUGCCCUGGAUCCCCCUACACAGGACACCUUCAUCCAGCAUGCAGAGGCUCUCUGAGGAGGGCUUCACAUUGACCUCAGUCCACUCCUUAUACGACAACACUUCCUACAGCAUCAGCUGCUCUGAGAGCAACCUGUCUGAGGCCCUCCUCUUCAACAUCUCCAGAAACUCCAGCCAGGUGAAAGGCAGCACAUGCCAGGAGGACAGUGCCUUCUUGGACAAGGAGAAUGUUCGUGUGGGACUCCUCUUUGCCUCCAAGGCUCUGGUGCAGCUUCUGAUCAAUCCCUUCGUGGGUCCCCUGACCAACAGGUUCAUGUUCUGGCUUCACAGCAAGUGUUUUUGUGUGUGUGACAAAAUCACAGCUAGCUAGGACAGUGUUCAACUUUGCAUUUAUUGAAAAUGAUUAAAUACAAUACACACUGGUUCUAAUCUUAUCCUUAUCUUUUCCCUCAAGAGUUGGACAUCACAUACCAAUGUUUGCUGUCUUUAUCAUCAUGUUUGUUUCAACAAUAAGUAUGUGUGCCUGACACUGACACACACUUCUAACUUGUUACACACAGUUGAUAAUGAGAUAUAAUUGAGGUAGUGAUCUCUAAUAUACAUACCAUGACUGUUUCACAACUCCAAUUGCGUCAUCUUUAGAUUUGAUUUUAUCUUACCACAGUGCAGUCAUGGUAACGGAGGUUGUGUCCUGUGGUUGUCAGUGUUUGCCUUCUCAUGUGCAUGCUCCUUGUUGUUUUUUGCUCGCUCUCUUCAGGGAAUUGGUUCCUCUUUCUCCUCCUGUGUUUCACAAAAACCUCCCCAGUGUUGUAAUAGAAUAUGAACCAUUUUGUCCGAGCAUCUUAACGUCUAAGUGAAAAGCAUGUCUUCUCCCGUAAGACUGGGAAUGUUGGCCAGUGUGUACACAAGUAAUGAGGAGAGAGGCGUAGCUAUGGGGAUCGCACUGGGUGGACUGGCCGUGGAGGUUCUCGUGUUACAUCUCUGCCAUCAAAGAUUUCACCAGAUAGUGUAGAUGGCACUCCUUUGCUGACCCUACUGAAGGACCCCUACAUUCUAAUUUGUGCAGGCUCUCUGUGCUUCGCCAACAUGGGAGUUGCCAUUCUGGAGCCCACACUUCCCAUCUGGAUGAUGCAGACCAUGUGCUCUCCCAAAUGACUGCUUGGUAUGGCUUUCCUACCAGCAAGCAUUUCUUACCUUAUUGGCACCAAUUUAACAAAACGUGAAGGUAGGUUUUCGUUGAUCCUCUCCUGGUUACUUCUAUUUGUUCCUAUCUAUCAAUUAUCAAUAUAUAAAAGUCUAGUCACUCAGAAAAUAAGUUCUCAUGUAAGCCUAUGGGGGUUGUGUGAAUCAGUGUUAGUGUCUGUGUGAAUGUGUGUGUGCAGGGGCAGACUGCCCGA